CCUACGGGAGGCUGCAGUGGGGAAUAUUGGACAAUGGGGGGAACCCUGAUCCAGCCAUGCCGCGUGUGUGAAGAAGGCCCUCGGGUUGUAAAGCACUUUCAGUGAGGAAGAACGCCUGGUGGUUAAUACCCAUCAGGAAAGACAUCACUCACAGAAGAAGCACCGGCUAACUCCGUGCCAGCAGCCGCGGUAAUACGGAGGGUGCGAGCGUUAAUCGGAAUUACUGGGCGUAAAGCGCGCGUAGGUGGCUUGAUAAGCCGGUUGUGAAAGCCCCGGGCUCAACCUGGGAACGGCAUCCGGAACUGUCAAGCUAGAGUGCAGGAGAGGAAGGUAGAAUUCCCGGUGUAGCGGUGAAAUGCGUAGCGAUCGGGAGGAAUACCAGUGGCGAAGGCGGCCUUCUGGACUGACACUGACACUGAGGUGCGAAAGCGUGGGUAGCAAACAGGAUUAGAUACCCUUGUAGUC
rnacentral:rRNA from 1 species